rnacentral:rRNA from 1 species
UACGUAGGGGGCAAGCGUUAUCCGGAUUUACUGGGUGUAAAGGGAGCGUAGACGGCAAGGCAAGUCUGAAGUGAAAGCCCGGUGCUUAACGCCGGGACUGCUUUGGAAACUGUUUAGCUGGAGUGCCGGAGAGGUAAGCGGAAUUCCUAGUGUAGCGGUGAAAUGCGUAGAUAUUAGGAAGAACACCAGUGGCGAAGGCGGCUUACUGGACGGUAACUGACGUUGAGACUCGAAAGCGUGGGGAGCAAACAGG